GGCUCUAUAGUGUAGUGGUUAGCACAUCUGCUUUACAUGCAGAAGGUCCUGGGUUCGUGCCCCAGGUGGAGCCA
rnacentral:tRNA from 1 species